AGUGACAGUCACCACCUCCCUCACUCUGUCACUAGUCACCCCCUCACUCUAGUGACAAUGAGGGAGGGGGUGACUAGUGACAGAGUGAGGGAGGGAAGUGGUGACUAGUGACAGAGUUAGGGAGGGAAGGGGUGACUAGUGAGGAAGGGGUGACUAGUGACAGAGUGAGGGAGGGAAGGGGGUGACUAGUGACAGUCACCACCUCCUUCACUCUGUCACUAGUCACCCCCUCCCUCACUCUGUCACUGUGUCACCCCCUUCCUCACUCUGUCACUAGUCACCCUCUCUCUCACUCUGUCACUAGUCACCCUCUCUCUCACUCUGUCACUAGUCACCCCGUCCCUCACUCUGUCACUAGAGUGAGGGGGUGACUAGUGACAG